UACGUAGGGGGCAAGCGUUGUCCGGAUUUAUUGGGCGUAAAGAGCGUGUAGGCGGUUCGGUAAGUCUGCCGUGAAAACCUGGGGCUCAACCCCGGGCGUGCGGUGGAUACUGCCGGGCUAGAGGGUGGUAGAGGCGAGUGGAAUUCCUGGUGUAGCGGUGAAAUGCGCAGAUAUCAGGAGGAACACCUAUUGCGAAGGCAGCUCGCUGGGACGUAACUGACGCUGAGACGCGAAAGCGUGGGGAGCAAACAGG
rnacentral:rRNA from 1 species